rnacentral:lncRNA from 1 species
UUCACAGAUGCAAAGCAAACCUAUGCACAGAUGUAUAGCGCACAUUUUUAUCAAUAUUCAGUCAAUUUAUGUAUCCUGGCUAGGAGUGUACACUAGCAUCAAACUAGUUGUCUUUUGGAUUGAGGGAGCAAACUGGAACGCAGGAUGCCUGCUGAUCGGGAAGUGCGCUGAGAUUUCUCCUACAGACUUAGAUUCUAAUUUCAUUUGUAAUUUGGAAUGGCUCCCAGUGCUCUGCAAGGCCUGUCUAAAUGACUAGAAGGUUUUGGUUCUAUACUCUGCACAUAAAGAGAAUCCACUUUGAUAAGGAUAUGGGAGAGAGUGAGAAGAGGACAGCCUGGAACAUGACCAUGCAAAGCUGUUU